rnacentral:rRNA from 1 species
AACGAACGCUGGCGGCAUGCCUAACACAUGCAAGUCGAACGAGACCUUCGGGUCUAGUGGCGCACGGGUGCGUAACGCGUGGGAACCUGCCCUUAGGUUCGGAAUAACUCCCCGAAAGGGGUGCGAAUACCGGAUAAUGUCUUCGGACCAAAGUUUUAUCGCCUUUGGAUGGGCCCGCGUUGGAUUAGCUAGUUGGUAGGGUAAAAGCCUACCAAGGCGACGAUCCAUAGCUGGUCUGAGAGGAUGAUCAGCCACACUGGGACUGAGACACGGCCCAGACUCCUACGGGAGGCAGCAGUGGGGAAUAUUGGACAAUGGGCGAAAGCCUGAUCCAGCAGUGCCGCGUGAGUGAUGAAGGCCUUAGGGUUGUAAAGCUCUUUUACCCAGGAUGAUAAUGACAGUACCGGGAGAAUAAGCUCCGGCUAACUCCGUG